CAGUAGCCGCGGUAAUACGUAGGGUGCAAGCGUUAAUCGGAAUUACUGGGCGUAAAGCGUGCGCAGGCGGUCCGCUAAGACAGAUGUGAAAUCCCCGGGCUUAACCUGGGAACUGCAUUUGUGACUGGCGGGCUAGAGUAUGGCAGAGGGGGGUAGAAUUCCACGUGUAGCAGUGAAAUGCGUAGAGAUGUGGAGGAAUACCGAUGGCGAAGGCAGCCCCCUGGGCCAAUACUGACGCUCAUGCACGAAAGCGUGGGGAGCAAACAGGAUUAGAUACCCGGGUAGUCCCUGUCUCUUAUAA
rnacentral:rRNA from 1 species